UUCCAAUAAAUGUGACGGUUUCACUUCUUCUACACAUUUCAUUCCACACAUCUAUAAUACCUAAAUAAUUCAACUCCAUUACUCUAUUUCUCUUGACAUGCAGGAUGGCUUGCGUGCUCCCCGAGAAUGCUCCCAUCCCUGCUCCGCGCUCAUCCAACGGCCCCCGCUGCUGCCCUCCUUUUCCCUAAAAUACCCAGCAAUUAAACAAAACCGGCCGCUCCGUCUCUUAACCAAACCCAGGAAAAGACCAGCCGCUUGUUUCGUCUCCUCUCUUAUCCACUUACUUUCCCCACAGCCAAAGCAGUAGCUUCUCCACGGCCGGGAGACAUCUCGACGGCGAGCGCCGUGACCUCGAUUUGCUAGCAUGUCCGAGCAGGAGGGUCCUGGACAUCGCUGCAAGCUGGCUCAUCCGGCUGGUUGUCUUCCUCGGGGAGCGCGUCAUCUCCGUGGUCCUCCGCGCGCGGCGCUCGUCAGCAAACUGCUCACCAUCCCUGCGGCCAUGGCGUCCCUCGCCCAGUGCGGCGCUCGUAGGCGAGCUGCGCGCCGUCCCUGAGGCCGCAGCUUCCGUCGCCCGGCGAGGCGCUCGUGGGCGAGCUGCGGGCCCUCCCUCCUCGGCGGUCACCUUCGUGGCCCUGUUUCUGUGUGAUCUUAAGUAUUGCGGCAUGUUUCCAGUAGCAAGACUAUGGUUAUGGGCUUCUUUAAAUUCGUAUACAUUAUAAAUCCCGUUUGUAAGACUUAUCUUCAUACGUGCAUCACAACCACAUCGUGUCUUGGGCCUACUAUAACUGAAUUUCUCCUCUCUUUUAUCUUCAGCACGGACUCCUAUUAGUUAAAAUUAUUUUAUUAGUCCCAUCUAAAAAUCUAUAUGACCAGAACAAGUUACAACUACUCCAUACCUUGACGAGAACAUGUGAAUGUCCGUUGUUGUAUUGUACUGGAAUUUUUUACUUUAUGAUGAUUGCCUCUUCGGAUGCUAAAACCCAAGGAAUAAGCAUACUUGUUAUAGAAGGAAUAUGCUUCUUCAGAUAAAAACUGCAUGCCAAUCUUUGGCACUCUUUUUUCAAUCUGCUCUGUUGCAUUGCUAGCUGUAGUUUCUUCGACCCCCUGUUUAAAUUAGUGCUCACUUUAGCAAUUGGUUCAAAUACAAGGAAAAGGAGAAGCAACAUAUCUGUGUUGUAAAUCAGCAAUAACCUCGCUAUGACUAUUUAUUUCAAUGUCACAGUGGAACGGAAAUGAGUGGAAUCUGUGUUGUUUUCCCAUUCUGAACAAGGUUGUUAAUAAUUUCAAUCUUCUGAGUACGCAUUCUCAACUUAUCGGAGGAUUGGGAGAAGACAGUUGGGUCAGAGAAAAAGGAAGAACGCAAUGGAAACAAGAUGGCUUACAUUUGGGGGAUCUGAUUCCUCAUUGGUUCCGGCAGGAAUUGGUGAAGAAGCCAUCAAGUUCCUCCAGCAAGUCCCUUUGUUGGAUCUGUGUUUGUAGAUAGAUUUGAUGAAGAAGAGUAUAGUUUGGUUUGUUUUGUACUCUGUGUACGGGAAAAGUUCACCGCCAAUACUUUUGGUGGGCAAGACAUAUUUAUUUCCCUCCAAAUCUUUGUUCUAUUGCGUUAAUUACGUUGCCAGGAGAAAGUCCGAA